UUUCCGUAGGUGAACCUGCGGAAGGAUCAUUACUGAGGUAUGCUUGGUGUCGCGUCAGCGCACCGGUUACCCGCCCAUGUGUCAUCUGCACUGGACCCGCCCUGCCUUCGUGCGGGGAGGGGACAGGAAUAUCACUUCGGUCGAGGUGUUGUGUCGUGCCCGAGAGGGUGGACAUGACCGCGGCCGGUCGUAUUUUACACUCUUUGUGAGAACAUGAAGUCUGAAGCAAAUGAAAAUUAAGCAAAACUUUCAACAACGGAUCUCUUGGCUCUGGCAUCGAUGAAGAACGCAGC
rnacentral:misc_RNA from 1 species